rnacentral:rRNA from 1 species
AGCGAACGCUGGCGGCAGGCCUAACACAUGCAAGUCGAACGAACUCUUCGGAGUUAGUGGCGGACGGGUGAGUAACACGUGGGAACGUGCCUUUAGGUUCGGAAUAACUCAGGGAAACUUGUGCUAAUACCGAAUGUGCCCUUCGGGGGAAAGAUUUAUCGCCUUUAGAGCGGCCCGCGUCUGAUUAGCUAGUUGGUAGUGUAAUGGACUACCAAGGCUACGAUCAGUAGCUGGUCUGAGAGGAUGAUCAGCCACAUUGGGACUGAGACACGGCCCAAACUCCUACGGGAGGCAGCAGUGGGGAAUCUUGCGCAAUGGGCGAAAGCCUGACGCAGCCAUGCCGCGUGAAUGAUGAAGGUCUUAGGAUUGUAAAAUUCUUUCACCGGGGACGAUAAUGACGGUACCCGGAGAAGAAGCCCCGGCUAACUUCGUGCCAGCCGCCGCCGUAAGAC